AACGAACGCUGGCGGCAGGCUUAACACAUGCAAGUCGAGCGCAUCCUUCGGGGUGAGCGGCAGACGGGUGAGUAACGCGUGGGAACGUACCCUUUCCUACGGAAUAGCUCCGGGAAACUGGAAUUAAUACCGUAUACGCCCUUAGGGGGAAAGAUUUAUCGGGGAAGGAUCGGCCCGCGUUGGAUUAGCUAGUUGGUGGGGUAAAGGCCUACCAAGGCGACGAUCCAUAGCUGGUCUGAGAGGAUGAUCAGCCACAUUGGGACUGAGAACACGGCCCAAACUCCUACGGGAGGCAGCAGUGGGGAAUAUUGGACAAUGGGCGCAAGCCUGAUCCAGCCAUGCCGCGUGAGUGAUGAAGGCCUUAGGGUUGUAAAGCUCUUUCAGUAGGGAAGAUAAUGACGGUACCUACAGAAGAAGCCCCGGCUAACUUCGUGCCAGCAGCCGCGGUAA
rnacentral:rRNA from 1 species